UUGCUCUGUUUUGUUUAAAGUUCUAUGACAAAAAGGGGAAAUUGUAAACUUUGGAUUUUGUGUUAUAAGUUGAUGAACUUUUAUUUUGAAAAGAUUCGUCUUUUCCUGCUGACGUAGUCCAUGUGACUGGCAACAGCCAAUCGGGUUUGUUGUUGAGCUGAGAGCUCUAAUGCUAGAGCUUAACAUGCAUUGUAAGAUUCGCAGCUCAAGAGAGAAGACGAGGAACCCAAUUGAUGAAAGUUUGAAACCUUUUUACGAUUUAUUUUAUUUUUGCCUUGUGGUGAAGUUAUUUUUUUGUUUUUGCACCUGUGUGGCCUGGAAAACAUUUUUUUCAAACGGGACUUUGCCAUUAAGAUUGGGCCGAAAAAACGGACUCCUCAAUCCAGGAUCCAUGUGCGUGAAGAAAACAAGAUGGCGAGCCAACCCUGAGCCUCUUGAAGUAGCAAAGGACCAAGCGCCCUCUGCUGGACAUCGGACAACCCUUUUCAUCCUUUGGAACUGCCCUCUCCUAUCAGCAGCGGAGCAGCUGGUGAACCACACAGCGGCGUGGAGCGCCAUCUCUCACUGGAUGGGAGUUUGGUCGCAGGAUGCCAGCAGCUGCUGCUCCAGGAUAUUGGCUUUUAAAGCCCUCUGAGAAUUCAGCCUACCUACUGCACACACUCAGACAUCAACACACAUUGCUUUGUUGUGUAAGGUAGGCAAAGCGUAAAGAUAUCUUCCAUCAGCUCCUGGCUGUUGCAUCUUCGGCGCAACCAAAGUGUGUGUGACGGGGAAUCUGUUUUGAAGUUAUGCUUCCAUUCUGAAGACCUGCUCUGACCAGCCAUUUACGUCGUGGAGGUAGCUCCUCAGAGCGUGAACACAGCCAGCAAAGGGAUGCAUUAAGAUGUUCCACAUUCAUGAUCCAUGAACUUCCCCAAAGGCAAAGUGUGUGAUAAAAGAACGGCGGGAGCAGGUAAGGAAAGAGCUUGUGCAAAGCCCUGGCAGCUUUUAAUGACCGCUGUGUGCAAGUUCAUUUGGGACUCUGAGUCAAAUUCUAGAAAUGCUUGAUGUGACUAUUUUUAAUGCAUGAAAAAUGAUGAGAUCCAUAUUACAUCAAGGGUUCUUUGGGCUAGUGCUGUUUGCUUGUCAUAUUAGACAAAGACUUUCAAAAGAGCUCCAUAGCUUAAUGUUCUCAUAAAGCCCAUUUGAUGUUGAAGAAGCACUGUCAGAAUUCAACAGCGUGCAAGCAACCACUUUUUACUUAAAGUCUACAAAAAGCAAAGAUCAAAGCAUGUCUAAUUUGAAUAAAUGAGUACUUUGUUUUCAUACAGUUCAUUGAUGUACAGAGAGCAAUUUAGAAGUCUUUGCAAAGCUGGCUGUCAUUUCUUUUUGCAACGUCGAUCUGAAAUCAAAAACAAUAAAGAACAGUGCAGUCAAACCGGCAGCUUGUUCAAACACUCAGCAGCAAUA